rnacentral:rRNA from 1 species
CGGGAGGCAGCAGUGGAGGAAUCUGCGCAAUGGGCGAAGCUGACGCAGCGACGCCGCGUGAGGGAUGACGGCCUUCGGGUGUAAACCUCUUUCAGCUCCGACGAAGCGUAAGUGACGGUAGGAGCAGAAGAAGCACCGGCCAACUACGUGCCAGCAGCCGCGGUAAUACGUAGGGUGCAAGCGUUGUCCGGAAUUAUUGGGCGUAAAGAGCUCGUAGGCGGUCUGUCGCGUCGGCUGUGAAAACUUGGGGCUCAACUCCGAGCUUGCAGUCGAUACGGGCAGGCUAGAGUUCGGCAGGGGAGACUGGAAUUCCUGGUGUAGCGGUGAAAUGCGCAGAUAUCAGGAGGAACACCGGUGGCGAAGGCGGGUCUCUGGGCCGAUACUGACGCUGAGGAGCGAAAGCGUGGGGAGCGAACAGGAUUAGAUACCCUGGUAGUCCACGCCGUAAACGUUGGGCGCUAGGUGUGGGAUCCCUUCCACGGGUUCCGUGCCGCAGCUAACGCAUUAAGCGCCCCGCCUGGGGAGUACGGCCGCAAGGCUAAAACUCAAAGGAAUUGACGGGGGCCCGCACAAGCGGCGGAGCAUGCGGAUUAAUUCGAUGCAACGCGAAGAACCUUACCUGGGUUUGACAUACACUGGAAAGCCGUGGAGACACGGCCCCCGCAAGGCCGGUGUACAGGUGGUGCAUGGCUGUCGUCAGCUCGUGUCGUGAGAUGUUGGGUUAAGUCCCGCAACGAGCGCAACCCUUAUCCUAUGUUGCCAGCGGGUUAUGCCGGGGACUCAUGGGAGACUGCCGGGGUCAACUCGGAGGAAGGUGGGGACGACGUCAAGUCAUCAUGCCCCUUAUGUCCAGGGCUUCACACAUGCUACAAUGGCCGGUACAAAGGGCUGCUAAGCCGCGAGGUGGAGCGAAUCCCAUAAAGCCGGUCUCAGUUCGGAUCGGGGUCUGCAACUCGACCCCGUGAAGUCGGAGUCGCUAGUAAUCGCAGAUCAGCAACGCCGCGGUGAAUACGUUCCCGGG